GCCUGGGUGGCUCAGUUGGUUAAGCAUCUGACUGUGGCUCAGGUCAUGAUUUCACAGUUUGUGGGUUUGAGCCCCACAUUGGGCU
rnacentral:tRNA from 1 species